AGUGAACGCUGGCGGCAGGCCUAACACAUGCAAGUCGAGCGGCAGCGCGUCCGACCACCCUCGGGUGGUCGGAUGGCGGCGAGCGGCGGACGGGUGAGGAAUGCAUCGGAAUCUGCCUCGUUGUGGGGGAUAACGUAGGGAAACUUACGCUAAUACCGCAUACGACCUACGGGUGAAAGUGGGGGACCUUCGGGCCUCACGCGAUGAGAUGAGCCGAUGCCGGAUUAGCUAGUUGGCGGGGUAAAGGCCCACCAAGGCGACGAUCCGUAGCUGGUCUGAGAGGAUGAUCAGCCACACUGGAACUGAGACACGGUCCAGACUCCUACGGGAGGCAGCAGUGGGGAAUAUUGGACAAUGGGGGCAACCCUGAUCCAGCCAUGCCGCGUGUGUGAAGAAGGCCUUCGGGUUGUAAAGCACUUUUGUUGGGGAAGAAACCGGCCGGGUUAAUACCCUGGUUGAAUGACGGUACCCAAAGAAUAAGCACCGGCUAACUUCGUGCCAGCAGCCGCGGUAAUACGAAGGGUGCAAGUGUUACUCGGAAUUACUGGGCGUAAAGCGUGCGUAGGCGGUUUGUUAAGUCUGCUGUGAAAGCCCUGGGCUCAACCUGGGAACUGCAGUGGAUACUGGCGAGCUA
rnacentral:rRNA from 1 species